rnacentral:rRNA from 1 species
UACGUAGGGGCGAGCGUUGUCCGGAUUCAUUGGGCGUAAAGGGCGCGCAGGCGGCCCGGAAAGUCGGAUGUGAAAACUCGGAGGCUCAACCUCGAGCGUGCACCCGAUACUGCCGGGCUGAGGCAGGUAGGGGAGAUCGGAAUUCCUGGUGUAGCGGUGAAAUGCGCAGAUAUCAGGAGGAACACCGGUGGCGAAGGCGGAUCUCUGGGCCUGUCCUGACGCUGAGGCGCGAAAGCUAGGGGAGCGAAACAGG